GUGGCAGCUGGGAUGUUUUGUGAGGUCUAAACUGCCUACGAAAACGGAGGAUGUCAGGGAGAAUGGCUGAUACAACACAGCUUCAGCUUUUGAAAUAUUGGAUUUGGGACAGUGGUUGCAAACUUCCGGGGCAGGAUCUCUGUCACGCAAUCCUUGUUUUGGAUCAAGAUAUUCGGAUCAAGACCCCUUGCAGUGGACAAGAAAGAGGACAGGGGACUAGAAGGGAUGAUUUUACUUCUCGUUGACACUCAUCACAUAAAUGCAUCCAACGCCAGUGUGUCAAUAGAGAAGUUGCGUAUCAACAGGAAGCAAGGGGAAGGAGCAACAUUGCCUCAUUCCUUUUUCCAGGUGAAAUAUGGCUGAAAAUAUGUUAUUUUUCACUUUACGGGCAAGAUGGAAUUGCACAGGACUUCAAUACUUAAAGGCCACUAAGUUUGAUAAUAGAGUAAGGCCAUUCUUCUGUCUGUCAGGGCUCAGACCGAUGAUUGAAACACUUAAUAAUUGACUUGGUGAUGCAUGCAAAAUACUUAUCCUUUGCUGUAAGCCGGAAAUCUAUUUUUCUUGAAAUCCACUUGCAAUUAAUUGAAAGAAUUGCAUCAUUUAGGCAAGUUACUGUAAUGUUGAUGAUUACUCUGUUACAGUUAAUUGAGAAACAGAAAACAAAUCUCCCCAGUUAUAACCAUUCUUGUGUUUCAUCAGAACUGAUAUAAUAACAGUUCUCAUAUCAUGGGCUAUAUCUCUCUUUUGGAAAGCUCCCAGCAAGCCUUUCAGUAGGACGGGGUAUAAUCAUCCGCAAAUAUAUAGAAAUCUUCCUGAAUGACUGGUCAAUGCUAAUGUUUUAUCAGGGUACAAUUUCUGUACUCUUGCACAGUGAUAGAGGUUAUCCCAUGGACAAUAACUUGUCUGAGAGUCGAAAAGAUCCUCGAGAAAAGUGAAUUUUUUUAAAAUGCUGAUGUAACAUGGAUAUUCUUUUC